rnacentral:rRNA from 1 species
GGACGAACGCUGGCGGCGUGCCUAAUACAUGCAAGUAGAACGCUGAAGAGAGGAGCUUGCUCUUCUUGGAUGAGUUGCGAACGGGUGAGUAACGCGUAGGUAACCUGCCUUGUAGCGGGGGAUAACUAUUGGAAACGAUAGCUAAUACCGCAUAACAAUGGAUGACACAUGUCAUUUAUUUGAAAGGGGCAAUUGUUCCACUACAAGAUGGACCUGCGUUGUAUUAGCUAGUAGGUGAGGUAAUGGCUCACCUAGGCGACGAUACAUAGCCGACCUGAGAGGGUGAUCGGCCACACUGGGACUGAGACACGGCCCAGACUCCUACGGGAGGCAGCAGUAGGGAAUCUUCGGCAAUGGGGGCAACCCUGACCGAGCAACGCCGCGUGAGUGAAGAAGGUUUUCGGAUCGUAAAGCUCUGUUGUAAGUCAAGAACGGGUGUGAGAGUGGAAAGUUCACACUGUGACGGUAGCUUACCAGAAAGGGACGGCUAACUACGUGCCAGCAGCCGCGGUAAUACGUAGGUCCCGAGCGUUGUCCGGAUUUAUUGGGCGUAAAGCGAGCGCAGGCGGUUUGAUAAGUCUGAAGUUAAAGGCUGUGGCUCAACCAUAGUUCGCUUUGGAAACUGUCAAACUUGAGUGCAGAAGGGGAGAGUGGAAUUCCAUGUGUAGCGGUGAAAUGCGUAGAUAUAUGGAGGAACACCGGUGGCGAAAGCGGCUCUCUGGUCUGUAACUGACGCUGAGGCUCGAAAGCGUGGGGAGCGAACAGGAUUAGAUACCCUGGUAGUCCACGCCGUAAACGAUGAGUGCUAGGUGUUGGAUCCUUUCCGGGAUUCAGUGCCGMAGCUAACGCAUUAAGCACUCCGCCUGGGGAGUACGACCGCAAGGUUGAAACUCAAAGGAAUUGACGGGGGCCCGCACAAGCGGUGGAGCAUGUGGUUUAAUUCGAAGCAACGCGAAGAACCUUACCAGGUCUUGACAUCCCGAUGCUAUUUCUAGAGAUAGAAAGUUACUUCGGUACAUCGGUGACAGGUGGUGCAUGGUUGUCGUCAGCUCGUGUCGUGAGAUGUUGGGUUAAGUCCCGCAACGAGCGCAACCCCUAUUGUUAGUUGCCAUCAUUCAGUUGGGCACUCUAGCGAGACUGCCGGUAAUAAACCGGAGGAAGGUGGGGAUGACGUCAAAUCAUCAUGCCCCUUAUGACCUGGGCUACACACGUGCUACAAUGGUUGGUACAACGAGUUGCGAGUCGGUGACGGCGAGCUAAUCUCUUAAAGCCAAUCUCAGUUCGGAUUGUAGGCUGCAACUCGCCUACAUGAAGUCGGAAUCGCUAGUAAUCGCGGAUCAGCACGCCGCGGUGAAUACGUUCCCGGGCCUUGUACACACCGCCCGUCACACCACGAGAGUUUGUAACACCCGAAGUCGGUGAGGUAACCUUUUGGAGCCAGCCGCCUAAGGUGGGACAGAUGAUUGGGGUGAAG